rnacentral:rRNA from 1 species
AUUGAACGCUGGCGGAAUGCUUUACACAUGCAAGUCGAACGGCAGCACGGGGGCAACCCUGGUGGCGAGUGGCGAACGGGUGAGUAAUACAUCGGAACGUGCCCGGUCGUGGGGGAUAACGUAGCGAAAGUUACGCUAAUACCGCAUACGACCUGAGGAUGAAAGCGGGGGACCUUCGGGCCUCGCGCGAUCGGAGCGGCCGAUGUCAGAUUAGGUAGUUGGUGGGGUAAAGGCCCACCAAGCCGACGAUCUGUAGCUGGUCUGAGAGGACGACCAGCCACACUGGGACUGAGACACGGCCCAGACUCCUACGGGAGGCAGCAGUGGGGAAUUUUGGACAAUGGGCGCAAGCCUGAUCCAGCCAUUCCGCGUGCAGGACGAAGGCCUUCGGGUUGUAAACUGCUUUUGUAUGGAACGAAAAGGCUCUGGCUAAUACCUGGGGCUCAUGACGGUACCGUAAGAAUAAGCACCGGCUAACUACGUG